rnacentral:rRNA from 1 species
GAUUAACGCUGGCGGCGUGCAUAACACAUGCAAGUCGAACGAUGAAACUUAACUGAUUUCUUCGGAAUGAUUUUAAGUGGAUUAGUGGCGGACGGGUGAGUAACGCGUGAGUAACCUGCCUUGGAGAAGGGGAUAGCCUUUGGAAACGAAGAAUAAUACCCUAUGAUAUGAUAAUAUCUCAUGAUAUUAUCAUCAAAGAUUUAUCGCUCUAAGAUGGACUUGCGUCUGAUUAGUUAGUUGGUGAGGUAACAGCUCACCAAGGCAGCGAUCAGUAGCCGGUGUGAGAGGGUGUACGCCCAAAUUGGGACUGAGACACGCCCCAGGCCCCUGCGGGAGGAGGGGGGGGGAAUUUUGCCACAGUGGGGGAAACCUUAAUCCAGCGACGCGGGGUAUUUGAAAAGCCUUUCGGUUUUUAAAAUUUUUUUGUAGGGAAAAAAAAUACCAAACCCAAACAAAUAAGACCCGCCUAAUUCCGUG